UUGCUCCACACUGACUUUUUCUAUCAACACUGGCCAGAGGUUAGUUUAAGCAUGAGAACCAUGAAGCAAGGUUAUCUGUAGAAAGCAGAGGGGAGUACAAGUGGAAUUCAAAGGUUGAUGAGAAUGAAAAUGAUUUAAUUGAUUCCCUGACACCUUCCUCUCAAAGAGAUGAAAUCAGAAAUGGAAAGAAAGCAAAUGUAAGAAAAUGAAUAAUGCAACUAAUUUCAACAAAAGUUUCAUCCCACCUGGUGCUAUUAAUUGGUGAAUACUUGACGUCCGGGUGACAGCUGUGCUUCGCGAUUCCAGACUUGGACUUUCUCCUUUCUUAUUACUUUCUGGAGAAGGAUCUCGUUGGCUGGUUUUAGAACUGGCCACUGUUGUUUUAUUAUGACAAAUUGUCAAUGACUGAGUUUGACUAGUGCUUUUUGGCGGACCAUUCUGUGAGCUAGAUAAUACACCCAACUUCUGGCUGCGUAACGUUAAAUUCUGAACCUAAGAACCACAUAACAAAAAUAAGGAUAAAACAUGUGGUAUUAAUUGAUGUGGUAAUC